CAUUCUGCCAGUCUUCAGAGGCAGAGGUGGUGGCCUAACAGUUUCAAGCAGUGGCAACAACACAUGCCCCCUCUUUGUGGUGCAAGAGAAGCCUGAAGUAUUGAAUGGCACCCCAGUUACUUUCACACCCUACAAUGCCAAAAGUGGUGUCAUCCUAACCUCAACUGAUCUCAACAUCAAGUCCUAUGGCACAACCACCUCCUGUGACAAACCCCCAGUGUGGAAGCUCCUCAAGGUGUUAACUGGGGUGUGGUUUUUGAGCACUGGUGGUGUUGAAGGCAAUCCGGGGAUUGACACCAUUGUCAAUUGGUUUAAGAUUGAGAAGGCUGAGAAAGACUAUGUGAUUUCUUUCUGUCCCUCAGUGUGCAAAUGCCAGACUUUGUGUAGGGAACUUGGGUUAUAUGUUGGUGAUGAUGGAAACAAGCAUUUGUCU
rnacentral:lncRNA from 1 species